rnacentral:ncRNA from 1 species
AUGAAGCAAAAGAAGAGGAGUAGUAGUACAGGUUCUUGGCGUUUAGAGAGGUGACGGUUGGUGCGAGUCACACGCGAAGAUGUACGAACUUGCCUCGGCACGCAUAGAUGUGGUGAAAACCGCCGUCCUUUUUCCGCGUUAAGGAAUUCUUGAGUUGAGUGGAGACACUAAUUUGGGUGGUACCGCGGGAGUUUUUACUCUCGUCCCAUGG